GAAGAAAAAAGACGACGAAGAAGAAGAGCUUUUGUCGUCGUGUAACGCUGCGUAUUUGGUUUCCAGUAGUUAUUAGACGCGUUUACGGUUAUCGGGCUGUUUUAGCACAGCUAGCUGUUUUCUGUAUAUGAUGACGUCUAAGUGAAACGUCUUGCCGUGACAGACUCACGGUUAUUUAGCUAAACCAGGCUAACAGCAGGAGUUAGCCGGAGUUGCGCAUCAGCACUUCUUUCAGCUGAUCCAAAAUGUACACUCUGCUGUCUGGGUUGUACAAAUACAUGUUUCAGAAGGACGAAUACUGCGUGUUGAUCCUGGGGCUGGAUAAUGCAGGAAAGACGACCUUUCUGGAACAGACCAAGACUAAGUUCAGUAAAAACUACAAGGGGAUGAAUCUGUCCAAAGUCACAACAACAGUUGGGUUAAACAUUGGUACCAUUGACGUCGGCAAGGCUCGCCUAAUGUUCUGGGAUCUGGGAGGUCAGGAGGAGCUGCAGUCUCUCUGGGACAAAUACUACGCAGAGUCUCACGGAGUCAUCUAUGUGAUUGAUUCAACUGAUGAAGACCGCCUUUCAGAAUCGAAGGAAGCCUUUGGAUUGUUUUCCAGAGAAAAUGAUCUGCAGCGAGGCAUUAGAAGGCGUUCCACUCCUCAUUCUUGCCAACAAGCAGGAUGUACCGAGUUGUUUGUCGGUGCCGGACAUCAAAACAGCCUUCAGUGAUUCGGCACCAAAGAUCGGCAAAAGAGACUGUUUAGUGCAGCCCUGCACUGCCCUCACAGGGGACGGAGUGAACGAAGGCAUUCAGUGGAUGGUGAAGUGUGUGGUGAGGAACAUUCACCGGCCGCCCAGGCAGAAGGACAUCACCUAAAACACGGCUGACCCCACAUAUUCUGGACGUUGGCGGAAUUUUUGACAAGGACAUUCCAUGCGACCCCUGGAGUUGAAGACAUUCUGUUUUUCUAGUUUUACUCUAGUUGGAAGUUUUUCCCUUUGGACUCUCGUUACGGUGUGGCUGUACAGGUUGAAUUUGCACUGUGAACUCGGGGCGACACGUUUUCUAGAGAUCAGUAUCGGACUGCACAGUCAGCUGAGCCUCACUGAUAGCAAGGAAACAUUGAUACGUCACUUCUCUUAUAAAUACAUCAAGUUUUCACUA